GGUAAUAGGUUUGGUGGCAAUUGCUGUCAUUUGUUAUYUUAUCAGAAAAUUAAUUGCAAUGGUGUUAGUAAUAAUUUACAUUCAAAAAAUGCCAGGCCCACCAAAAUUCAAUUUAUUUGUUGGAAAUAUGCGUCCUUUGCAUGGCACUCCAGUCCAAAUUUUCAACGUUUUACGUAAGUGGGGCCUUGAGUAUAACCCAAUUUACAAGGCAUUGUUAUAUACUCAGCCCGGAAAACUUGGCGGUAAGUCCCUCGAGAAAUAAUGCAAUUUUGAACAAAACUUUCAGCUUAUUUUACCCGACAUGAAACAUUGACAAGUUUUGGAACUCACUAGCAAGUGAGACGGAAAAUUCUAACACCAGCUUUCCAUUACACUAUUUUGCAAGACUUUAUUUUGACUUUUAAUGAAAGUACGGAAGAGUUGGUUGAAAUUUUGAAAAAGGAAGUUGAAAAACCGUUUGUUGAGAUAACUCCAUUGAUUACUCAAUUUGCUUUGAAAGUUAUUGGGGAAACUGCAAUGGGUGUUAAAUUUGACUUUAGUAUACCAAACACCGAAAAGAAUACAAAGAAGCAUUUCACAAACUUAUUUCCAUUCUCAURCACCGAAUAUUUCGACCUUAUUUAAUUUACGACAUUUUCUACAUUUUUAGUCCCAAGUUU